ensembl:snRNA U6 U6 spliceosomal RNA
GUGCUGGCCUUGGCAGCACAUACACUAAAAUUGGAAUGAUACAAAGAAGAUUAGCAUGGUCCCUGUGCAAGGAUGACAUGGAAAUUUGUGAAGCAUUCCAUAUGGGG